rnacentral:tmRNA from 1 species
GGGGGCGCAAAGGUUUCGACGUUGGUGUUGAAAUAUUAUGUGCAUGUCGAGAUUCAGAGUUCUCGUAAAUAAAUCUGAAUAAAAUUUAGUUGCAAACGACAACUACGCUCUAGCUGCAUAAACCAGCUGGCAUUGAUGAGGUUUCACUUGGAGGAUUUUAUCAAUGACGAUUAUCCAAGUUCGUCAUAACAAUUUGCUCUAAUUGUUUUGAUUAAACAAAAAUAAGAGUUCGUAUUUAAAAUCACCUUCCUUUCGGUGCUUAAAUAUAAGAUUAAAGAAAGUGAUAAGCAUGUAGAUCAUAAUAUGGAUAGCUAGCGGACGCGGGUUCGACUCCCGCCGCCUCCACCA